AGGCCCUGUUAAUAGCGAGCAGGAGAAGGACCCACUGGCUUGUCAGCUCAAUGCAUUAAUUCCCUGUUCCAUGUUUCUACUUUAAAUACUCAAAAGCGAGAGACGGACAAGUUCAGGACAGAGUCUGCGCAGAGGGCCCAAGAGGCCUGCUGGAGUCUCGCGGCCUGAGGGAGGAACGGACCGCCGCGUACACCUCUGAGCCAAUGGGGAGCCGACCAGAGAAAAACUGCUCACCAAGAACCCAAGCUGCCAGUCUUUCCUUUCCUCCUUCUCCAUUUGCCUUGGCACACAGGACACCAGGAGCCGCUUACUGAUCCUGAGGAGGAAGAGAAAAGAGAGAAAACCAGGGCUGCGUACUGUACCUCACAGGCCACAGAAAAGAAGUGCUGGCCUUCGAGACCCGGGGGCCUCCCGCCCACAGGAGUUCCUCUACACUCCACUCAUGCUGGAAACUCUCCAUCCUCUCUCUUUGAAAAGACCUCUGAAGCCAAUCACGACCACAGAACUGGUCUGAAAGUCACUUCCCCUGGAACCAUCUGCUCCCAAUGCUAAAGAAGUCUCUAUUAGAAGAAUGGCACAAUACCAUGUAUUUCUAACUAAUUAUUAUCCUUUUAGUUACAAAAAGGCCAUAACUGAUAAACCAAUGGCAAAAGGCAGGUUGAAUCCAUCUUCUUAGACCAAUGAAUUCAUUGUUUAUACUAAGUGUUAUGAAAUAGCAAACCAUUUCCCACUUGGACAGGCUCACACAGUAAGUGUGCGAUAAUUCUCAAAUCAGGCCAUCAACAGUCAAAGCCCAGCUGCUCUGUAAACCAUAUUUAAAAGCCCAGCAGUAACAACUCCCUUAUAUUUGGUCAUCCAGCUUCCUCUUACAGAUAAAUGGGUGAAAUAAAAUAAGCUUCAUUUUAUAACCCUGAUCUCACUAAAAGAAUUCAAAGAUGGAAAAGGAAAUUUAGCAACUAAUUAAUUACUAAUAAUCAUAAAGUUACAUGACUUGGUAGUAAACAUUCAAGGCCUCGAAAGAGACUCAUAAUUCUUCAUCAGUUGGAGACAAGGCUCAGGAAAUACAUAUUUUCUAAAAUAACUAACUCUAUCACACUCAAUCUAAGCUAUUUCUUUAAAACAAUGCAUAAUUAAUAUCUUUCAUAUGUAAUCUGUACGAGUAAACUGAUCUUUGCAUUAAAUCACAUGUAUUAAAGGGUACUUUGUGAGUUUUUAGAACAUUUUCCUAUAUAGUUUAGCACUGGUCAAAUCAACUCUUCAUUCCUAGAAACUUAAAGGGCAAGAGGGGAGGAGCAAGAAGUGGUUUUGGAAAAUAAACACUUGCCUUGGAAUACACAUGAAUAAAUAUAUCACACCUACAAUCUCCAAAACAAGUACUCUUCUUUCCGCUGUGAGAACUAUUCCUGAAAAAAUCAUAAUGACUAUAAGACAAGCCCCUUGGUUUUAGACCCGCUAUACUGCACGGAAGGCUGUGGAGGAGCAGAUGGUCUAAUGUAGAAAAUAUCUGGCCACACUUUGCCAGAAGAAUGGAAUGCAAACUAAUUGCAUAGGCAACGUGUAGCUCAGAAGGGGACAAGAAGCUACUCUUCUAAACAUCAGGCCAGACAGACAAUCUACCUCCUGACAGUGAAAACUGCAAGGCAGGAAGCCAAACCAGGUCUCUCAGACUUGCUGCAAAGUCAAGAAGCCAUACACGGAGGUCUCGCGGUGGUUCAAACUGACUCCUUCAACUCAAAUAGCAUCUGAGAUGUGGCUGCCUAGAGCUGACGCCGAGAUAUUUCUAUAGCUGUAACUCUACAAAUUAAGACCACAGUUUAGCUCUUGUUUACUGACAUCAUUCCAAGGUUUGCAUGUAUUACCAUGCCUUCCUCAUUUAAUAAACACCUUGUAUGUGUUUAACUAUUUGAAAUUUGGAAAGUGCUUUUAUAAAUAUUACCUUCUAUCCUUUGAA